GAUGAACGCUAGCGGCAGGCUUAAUACAUGCAAGUCGAGGGGUAGCAUGAUUGUAGCAAUACAAUUGAUGACGACCGGCAAACGGGUGCGGAACACGUACACAACCUUCCUACAAGUGGGGAAUAGCCCAGAGAAAUUUGGAUUAAUACCCCGGUAACAUAGCGAUGUGGCAUCACAUUGCUAUUAUAGCUUCGGCGCUUGUUGAUGGGUNUGCGGCUGAUUAGAUAGUUGGCGGGGUAACGGCCCACCAAGUCUACGAUCAGUAGCUGAUGUGAGAGCAUGAUCAGCCACACGGGCACUGAGACACGGGCCCGACUCCUACGGGAGGCAGCAGUAAGGAAUAUUGGACAAUGGACGCAAGUCUGAUCCAGCCAUGCCGCGUGAAGGAUUAAAGGUCCUCUGGAUUGUAAACUUCUUUUAUAAGGGACGAAAAAAA
rnacentral:rRNA from 1 species